CGCGACCCCAGGUCAGGCGGGGUUACCCGCUGAAUU
rnacentral:rRNA from 1 species